GGGGGAUAUUGCACAAUGGGCGAAAGCCUGAUGCAGCGACGCCGCGUGAGGGAAGAAGGUUUUCGGAUUGUAAACCUCUGUCUUCGAGGACGAAGAAGUGACGGUACUCGAGGAGGAAGCCACGGCUAACUACGUGCCAGCAGCCGCGGUAAAACGUAGGUGGCAAGCGUUGUCCGGAAUUACUGGGUGUAAAGGGAGCGCAGGCGGGACGGUAAGUUGAAUGUGAAAACUGGGGGCUCAACCCCCAGACUGCGUUCAAAACUAUCGUUCUUGAGUGAUGUAGAGGCAGGCGGAAUUCCCGGUGUAGCGGUGGAAUGCGUAGAUAUCGGGAGGAACACCAGUGGCGAAGGCGGCCUGCUGGGCAUUAACUGACGCUGAGGCUCGAAAGUGUGGGGAGCAAAC
rnacentral:rRNA from 1 species